rnacentral:rRNA from 1 species
AGAGUUUGAUCAUGGCUCAGAGUGAACGCUGGCGGCGUGCUUAACACAUGCAAGUCGAACGAUGAAGCUUUAGCUUGCUAGAGUGGAUUAGUGGCGCACGGGUGAGGAAUAUAUAGCUAAUGUGCCCCUUAGAGGGGGAUAACAGUUGGAAACGACUGCUAAUACCCCAUACUCCUUCUUACUAUAAGGUAAGUUGGGAAAGUUUUUUCGCUAAGGGAUCGGGCUAUACGGUAUCAGCUUGUUGGUGAGGUAAUGGCUCACCAAGGCUAUGACGCCUAUCUGGUCUGAGAGGAUGAUCAGACACACUGGAACUGAGACACGGUCCAGACUCCUACGGGAGGCAGCAGUGGGGAAUAUUACACAAUGGAGGAAACUCUGAUGUAGCAACGCCGCGUGGAGGAUGACACAUUUCGGUGCGUAAACUCCUUUUAUAUGGGAAGAUAAUGACGGUACCAUAUGAAUAAGCACCGGCUAACUCCGUGCCAGCAGCCGCGGUAAUACGGAGGGUGCAAGCGUUACUCGGAAUCACUGGGCGUAAAGCGCGCGCAGGCGGCCCGUUAAGUUGGAUGUGAAAUCCUAUGGCUCAACCAUAGAACUGCAUCCAAAACUGAUGGGCUAGAGUCUGGGAGGGGAAGAUGGAAUUAGUGGUGUAGGGGUAAAAUCCGUAGAGAUCACUAGGAAUACCAAAAAGCGAAGGCGAUCUUCUGGAACAGUACUGACGCUGACGCGCGAAAGC